UUUUGUUCAAUAUUUUAUAUUAUAAAAUGUGUGGUUAAAAGAAACAACUUCUUUUUAAAAAUCUUUUGUUGACCAUAUAGUUUUAUAAAACCAUCAUAAAACAUCAAUUUCUCUUUCUGUAGGCUAUAGAAUGUUACUGUGGUGGAGAUAGGAAUCUAAGAUAUGCAAAGGAUUAAAAGAUGGACAAGCCACUGUAAUUGUAGAAUGAUGCAGAGACAAAUGAACCAGUGCUCCGGAAAUAUCCAUAGUGAUCCCAAAUUUUGGAGCUUAAUUUACUAAAAAUCUACACAACAAGACUCAGUGUCAGUGGACAAAUGUGGACGUAAAAACUAUUUGAAUAAAUCCUACAUCUGGUUGGCUGUUUACUCCCUCAUAUACUUACACACCCAGAGAAUCAACUCCACUUCCAAAAUGGAAAAGUCUGCUGGGGGCUAAGCUUAUUUUGGCUCGUUUUUCAGCGUGAAACG